GUUUACAGCAGUGCUCUUCAACCCUUCUGCCUUUGGACCACAUAAAAUGAAGUCAUGUCUACCAAUGUUGGAUUCUUCUCAGCAGACAGUGCACGUGUGUCGCUCCAACCCAAUCACAAAUGUUGACACUGGGUCGGCGCUACACUCUGAAGCAUAAAGGUUCAAUCCAGGAUGUCAAACUGACUCAGCAGCAAAAACAGGUUAAACGAUGGAGACAGUUCAACUGAACCAAAACAUCACUGGUGAUCGAGACAGAAGACAAUGAAUGACGUCAGCACUUGGACCUCUGCUGCUGGACGGACAGAGCCCAUUGGCUAUCAGUCUGGUAAUGAUAAAGUCUCUGAGGGCGAGAGCCAGUAUUUUGGGUUGAUCUGCUUCAGCCUGUAGAUAUCUGGGCCAAGACUUUCUCUUCUCUUCUUCUCUUCCUCUUGUCCCGGACAUUUUGGCCAAUUUCUACGAACAGAUAUCUGCAUUAAACGAAGAAGAAAGCUAAAUCUUUGUCAGGCGAUGGCCGAUGGGUUCUGAGAUUAUUUUUUGGAAAAUGUGUUCCACCUCUCCAAACAGGCUGUUUACCUGCCAUUCAGAUGUGAUCACUCAAUACUACUAUGACUACAAACUGAAACCAGAACUCGAACAAAC